ACGCUCGACACCUACUGGAGGCAGCAGUGGGGAAUAUUGCACAAUGGGGGAAACCCUGAUGCAGCGACGCCGCGUGAGCGAAGAAGUAUUUCGGUAUGUAAAGCUCUAUCAGCAGGGAAGAAAAUGACGGUACCUGACUAAGAAGCCCCGGCUAACUACGUGCCAACAGCCGCGGUAAUCUGAGCGGGCGUGGCGAAGGC
rnacentral:rRNA from 1 species